rnacentral:rRNA from 1 species
UGCCAAUGUCCUAAAGGAAUGCUACUUGGUUGAUCCUACCAGUAGCCAUGCAUGUGUAAGUAUGAACUAUUCAAACUGUGAAACUAUGAAUGGCUUAUUAAAUUAGUUAUAGUUUGUUUGAUGGUAUUUACUACUUAGAUAACCAUAGUAAUUCUAGAGCUAAUACAUCUAACAAACCCCAACAUCUAGAAGGGAUGCAUUUGUUAGAUAGUAGGUCGAUGCCGACUUUCCCUUUUGCUCUAUGAUUAAUGAUAACUCAAUGAAUUGCAUGGGCUUUAAGCCGAUGAUGCAUCAUUCAAAUUUUGCCCUAUCAACUUUCAAAGUAGGAUAGUGGCCUACUAUGGUGGUGAUGGGUGAUGGAGAAUUAGGGUUCGAUUCCAAAAAGGGAGCCUGAGAAAUGGCUACCACUUCCAAGGAAUGUAGUAGGCGCAUACCAAUCCCGACACAGGGAGAUAGUGAUAAUAAAUAACAAUACCAGGCUCUAUGAGUCUAGUAAUUAGAAUGAGUAUAAUCUAAAUCACUUAACGAGGAUCCAUUGGAGGCAAGUUUGGUGUCAGCAACCAUAGUAAUUCUAGCUCUAAUAGCAUAUAUUUAAGUUAUUGAAAUUAAAAGCUCAUAGUUGGAACUAGGGUUGGGUUAGCUAUUCUGCCUCACGAUGAGCACCAAUCUACUCAUCCAUACUGCUAGUGAUGCACUCUUGGCCUUAACUGGUUAGGUUGUUCCUCUGACACUAUUUCUUUGAAGAAAUUACAAUGCGCAAAGUAGGCCUAUGCUAGUAUACAUUAGCAUCAAAUAACAUCAUAUGAUUUCGAUCCUAUUAUGUUGGCCUUCGUGAUCGAAGUAAUGAUUAAAAGAAACCAUCGAUGACAUUCAUAUUUCAUAGUCAGAGGUGAAAUUCUUAGAUUUAUGAAAGAUGAACAAUUGCAAAAGCACUUGCCAAGAAUGUUUUCAUUAAUCAAGAAUGAAAGGUGGCAGCUUGAAGAUAAUCAAAUACCAUUUUAGUCUUAACCAUAAAUGAUGCCAAUCAAGGAUCGACAAAUGUUACUUUUAGGACUCUGCUAGCAUUUUAUAAGAAACCAAAAUCUUUGGUUUCUAAGGGAAGCAUAGUUGUAAGGCUGAAACUUAAAGGAAUUGAUUAAAGGGCACCACUAGGAGUAGAGCUUAUGGCUUAAUUUGACUCAACACAGGAAAACUUUCCAAGUCUCAAUAUAAUAAGGAUUGACAGAUUGAUAGCUCUUUCUUGAUUCUAUGGGUGGUGGUGCAUGGUUGUUCUUAGUUGGUGAAGUGAUUUGUCUGGUUAAUCCCAUUAAUGAACAAGACCUUAGCCUACAAACUAGCUACGUAGAGGUGAUCCUUUGUGUCUAGCUUCUUAGAGGGACUAUGGCUGCUUAGGUAAAGGAAGUUUAAGGCAAUAACAAGUCUGUUAUACCCUUUGAUGUUCCACACUAUAGUGCGCUACAUUGAUUAUUCAAUAAGUCUAUAGCCUUGGCCAACAGGCCUAGGUAAUCUUUGAAAUUUUAUUGUGAUGAGGAUAGAUCAUUGCAAUUGUUAGUCUUCAAGAGGAAUUCCUAGUAAGCGUGAGUCAUAAGCUCAUGUUGACUACAUCCCUACCUUUUAUACACAUCGCCCAUCACUCUUAUCAAUUGAAUGAUCUAGUUAAGUGUUAGGAUUAUGACAAUGUGGAUGGUUAAUGGUCAAUGAUGUUGUGAGAAGUCCACUGAACCUUAUCAUUUAAAGGAAAGAGAAGUCAUAACAAGGUUUUUAUAGGUGAACAUAUAGAAG